rnacentral:lncRNA from 1 species
CUGUCCUGUUUGGUUCUGCGAGUGAGCGGCUCCCAGUCCUGUUUAGAUCAGUUGGUAGAGGGCUCCCAGUCCUGUUUAGAUCAGUUGGUGGAGGGCUUCUAGUCCUGUAUAGGUCAGUUGGUAGAGGGCUCCCAGUCCUCUUUAGAUCAGAUGGUGGAGGGCUUCCAGUCCUGUUUAGAUCAGUUGGUUGAGAGGUCCCAGUCCUGUUUAGAUCAGUUGGUGGAGGGCUUUCGGUCCCGUUUAGAUCAGUUGGUUGAGAGUUCCCAGUCCUGUUUAGAUCAGUUGGUUGAGAGGUCCUACUCCUGUUUAGGUCAGAUGGUAGGGGGCUCCCUGUCCUGUUUAGAUCAGUUGUUGGAGAGCUCCCAGUCCUGUUUAGGUCAGUUCGUGGAGGGCUCUCUGUCCUGAUUUGGACAGUUGGUAGAGGGCCCCCUGUCCUGUUUAGGUCAGUUGGUGGAGGGCUCCCUAGGUCAGUUGGUGGAGGGCUCCUUGUCCUGUUUAUGUCAGUUGGUGGAGGGCUCCCUGUCGUGUUUAGGUCAGUUGGUGGAGGGCUCCCUGUCCUGUUUAGGUCAGUUGGUAGAGGGCUCCCUGUCCUGUUUAGGUCAGUUGGUGGAGGGCUCCCUGUCAUGUUUAGGUCAGUUGGUGGAGGGCUCCCUGUCGUGUUUAGGUCAGUUGGUGGAGGGCUCCCUGUCCUGUUUAGGUCAGUUGGUAGAGGGCUCCUUGUCCUGGUUAGGUCAGUUGGUAGAGGGCUCCUUGUCCUGUUUAGAUCAGUUGGUGGAGGGCUCCCUGUCCUGUUUAGGUCAGUUUGUAGAGGGCUCCUUGUCCUGUUUAGGUCAGUUGAUGAGUAUUUAGUCAUUUUGUUUAGCUGAGAUGAAGGGUAUGUGCCAGUCCUGUUUGGUUCUGAUGCUGUGUACAUGCUUGUCCUGUCUGGUUCUGUGUAUGUGUGUUCUGACUGGUUCUUUACGGAAGGUUUGAUUGAUAUUGUUGAGAUUUUAAUUGAAGGGUCUUUGUUCUCUGAGAGGAUGUGGUUCCUAGGACCCUCUGGUUCUGAUGAAAUUUGUGUCCCAGUCCUGUUCCCUGGCUUGGUAAAGUCAUGUUUCUUGGUUCUUGGAGGUUCUACUGGGAUGUAAGCAUGUCGGAUGGUUUUGGUUCUGGUGGAGUUAAGUUGCGAUGGGUUAUUGGUCCAUGUUGGCUCUGGUUCUGAUCGUGUGUGAGUUCUCAUUUUUCCAGGUUCUGAUGGAAACUGCGCUCCUCCAUGGCCAGGUUGUUGGGUUGGAGAUUGAGUCUGGAGUUCUGCCAAAUGUGACCCAGAUUUUCUCCAACGUACCCCUGGAUCUAACAAAAUGUUGGCUCCCUGGUCACCAGGUUCUGAUUGAAUAUGGGUCUUAAUGCCUCCUGGUUCUGGUGGGAUGUACACACUGUGUUCUGAUAUAUCAGUCCUAGCUAUGUGGAGAUUUGGGGGACUCUCUGUCCUUGCUAUGAGUGGAUUUGGGGGGCUCUCAUUCCAUGCUAGGUGUGGAUUUGGGGGGCUCUCAGUCCAUGCUAGGUGUGGAUUUGGGGGGCUCUCAGUCCUUGCUAUGAGUGGAUUUGGGGGUCUCUCAGUCCAUGCUAGGUGGGUUUGGGGGGCUCUCUGUCCAUGCUAGGUGGGGUGCUGGGGGUCUCUCAGUCCAUGCUAGGUGUGGAUUUGGGGGGCUCUCAGUCCUUGCUAUGAGUGGAUUUGGGGGUCUCUCAGUCCUUGCUAUGAGUGGAUUUGGGGGUCUCUCAGUCCUUGCUAUGAGUGGAUUUGGGGGGCUCUCAGUCCUUGCUAGGUGUGGAUUUGGGGGGCUCUCAGUCCUUGCUAUGAGUGGAUUUGGGGGGCUCUCAGUCCUUGCUAUGAGUGGAUUUGGGGG